UCUUAGCUGAGUUUCCCGCGGGGCCCGAAGCGUUUACUUUGAAAAAAUUAGAGUGUUCAAAGCAGGCCCGGUCGCCUGAAUACCGCAGCUAGGA
rnacentral:miRNA from 1 species